GAUGAAUAUGGAUACUACGUUAUGAGGUUCAUUUAUGAUAUAUGCACAAAAUUUCAUAACUACACUUCGUUGGAUGAGGCAUAUCAAGACACAAAUGCUUAUUCUAAGGAUGAAAUAGAUGAGAUACGAAGGUUAUGGAUAGACUAUUUUGUAAAUGAGUGCAUAUAAAUGUUUAUUAGGUGCACUAGAUGGAAUUACAUUGUAUAUAUUAUGAUAUAUUAAUGUUGGAUUAUUAUUUUGU